AUUGAACGCUGGCGGCAGGCUUAACACAUGCAAGUCGAGCGGAGUGAUGGUGCUUGCACUAUCACUUAGCGGCGGACGGGUGAGUAAUGCUUAGGAAUCUGCCUAUUAGUGGGGGACAACAUUUCGAAAGGAAUGCUAAUACCGCAUACGUCCUACGGGAGAAAGCGGGGGAUCUUCGGACCUUGCGCUAAUAGAUGAGCCUAAGUCGGAUUAGCUAGUUGGUGGGGUAAAGGCCUACCAAGGCGACGAUCUGUAGCGGGUCUGAGAGGAUGAUCCGCCACACUGGGACUGAGACACGGCCCAGACUCCUACGGGAGGCAGCAGUGGGGAAUAUUGGACAAUGGGCGGAAGCCUGAUCCAGCCAUGCCGCGUGUGUGAAGAAGGCCUUAUGGUUGUAAAGCACUUUAAGCGAGGAGGAGGCUACUUUAGUUAAUACCUAGAGAUAGUGGACGUUACCCGCAGAAUAAGCACCGGCUAACUCUGUGCCAGCAGCCGCGGUAACAC
rnacentral:rRNA from 1 species